rnacentral:rRNA from 1 species
AACGUAGCAGACUAACAGGAUUCCCCUAGUAACUGCGAGUGAAGCGGGAAAAGCUCAAAUUUUAAAUCUGGCGGUCUCAUCGGCCGUCCGAGUUGUAAUCUAGAGAAGCGUCUUCCGCGCUGGCCCGUGUACAAGUCUCCUGGAAGGGAGCGUCAUAGAGGGUGAGAAUCCCGUCUUUGACAUGGACUACCAGUGCUAUGUGAUGCGCUCUCGACGAGUCGAGUUGUUUGGGAAUGCAGCUCAAAAUGGGUGGUAAAUUCCAUCUAAAGCUAAAUACAGGCGAGAGACCGAUAGCGAACAAGUACCGUGAGGGAAAGAUGAAAAGAACUUUGGAAAGAGAGUUAAACAGUACGUGAAAUUGCUGAAAGGGAAACGCUUGAUGUCAGUCGCGUUCGCCAGGGAUCAACCCUGCUUCAUUGCUGGGCGUAUUUCCUGGUCGGACGGGUCAGCAUCAGUUUCGAUCGGCAUAGAAAGGCGAAGGGAACGUGGCACUCUUCGGAGUGUGUUAUAGCCUUUCGUCGUAUGUGCCGGUGGGGACUGAGGAACUCGGCACCCUGUCCAGGUGUGCUUUAGGAUGCUGGCAUAAUGGCCUUAGCGACCCGUCUGAAACACGGACAAGGAGUCUAACAUGCUGCGAGUGUUUGGGCGGAAACCCAGCGCGUAUGAAAGUGAAAGUCAGACCUCUGUUCAUGGAGGGCACCGACGCCCGACUGAUCUUGACAACGGAUCUGCGGUAGCAUGUAUGUGGGACCGAAAUGGUGAACUAUGCUGAUAGGUGAAUAAGGAACUCUGUGGAGGUCGAGCGAUCCGACUGCAUCGAUCUCGAUGUAGGCCAAGACAUUCGACCUUAGUAUCGUCUCUCGCAGUUCUCUCGGAAAA